rnacentral:rRNA from 1 species
AGAAUCAACGCUGGCGGCGUGCCUAACACAUGCAAGUCGCACGAGAAAGGGACUUCGGUCCUGAGUACAGUGGCGCACGGGUGAGUAACACGUGAAUCAUCUACCUUCGAGUGGGGAAUAACUGAGAGAAAUCUUAGCUAAUACCGCAUAAUACCUACGGGUCAAAGCAGCAAUGCGCUUGAAGAGGAGUUCGCGGCAGAUUAGUUAGUUGGCGGGGUAAUGGCCCACCAAGACGAUGAUCUGUAUCCGGCCUGAGAGGGCGCACGGACACACUGGAACUGAAACACGGUCCAGACUCCUACGGGAGGCAGCAGUGGGGAAUUUUGCGCAAUGGGGGAAACCCUGACGCAGCAACGCCGCGUGGAGGAUGAAAUAUCUUGGUAUGUAAACUCCUUUCGAUGGGGAAGAUAAUGACGGUACCCAUAGAAGAAGCCCCGGCUAACUUCGUGCCAGCAGCCGC